UGAGAAAGCAUGGUGUCAAAUCCCAUUCAAAAGUUGAACGGCGCGAGAUGGUGCGCGAGAUGCGCGAGAUGGUGCGCGAGAUGCACUUUGAGAGAUUUUUGUUCGCCAGAGGAAAUACUUACUACAUGUCAAGACUCCCUCACGUCCGUUUUACAGUUUGCUCUCCAAAAUCUAUUUUGCUCUCACUGCUUACUAUAAUUUUAUAACGUGGAAAUCUUAGCCAAUGAACAUAGCCUGUCGCAGUCUACUGAAACGCUUGACUGCACUUGAACUGAAUUUUCUACCACAGAGACGAUAGGGGAUGUUGGGAGGUGAAUGAUGGUCCACUGUCACUAAUAUGUGGUGGUGUUGUGUCUCUGCGCAGCUGAAAGACAGGAGUCUAUUCUGUUCCAAGUAGGUUACCUUGUCUCUCCUCUAUGCACAACCCUCUGGAGAUUUCCUGCAGUUCUCAGGAGACAGGUCAGUGUGUGUAGAGAGAACACGUUUGACCAGGUGGAGUCAGGCUUCUACUUCAUCGCCUUGGACCACGACACCAACGAGGUAGAGGACGUUAUGUUUGGACCAGUAAGACACCAACGCGGUAGAGGACGUUAUGUUUGGACCAGUAAGACACCAACGAGGUAGAGGACGUUAUGUUUGGACCAGUAAGACACCAACGAGGUAGAGGAAUUUAUGUUUGGACCAGUAAGACACCAACGAGGUAGAGGAUGUUAUGUUUGGACCAGUAAGACACCAACGAGGUAGAGGACGUUAUGUUUGAACCAGUAAGACACCAACGAGGUAGAGGGACGUUAUGUUUGGACCAGUAAGACACCAACGAGGUAGAAGGACGUUAUGUUUGGACCAGUAAGACACCAACGAGGUAGAGGACGUUAUGUUUGGACCAGUAAGACACCAACGAGGUAGAGGGCGUUAUAUUUGGACCAGUAAGACACCAACGAGGUAGAGGACGUUAUAUUUGGACCAGUAAGACACCAACGAGGUAGAGGACGUUAUAUUUGGACCAGUAAGACACCAACGAGGUAGAGGACGUUAUAUUUGGACCAGUAAGACACCAACGAGGUAGAGGGCGUUAUAUUUGGACCAGUAAGACACCAACGAGGUAGAGGACGUUAUAUUUGGACCAGUAAGACACCAACGAGGUAGAGGACGUUAUGUUUGGACCAGUAAGACACCAACGCGGUAGAGGACGUUAUGUUUGGACCAGUAAGACACCAACGAGGUAGAGGACGUUAUGUUUGGACCAGUAAGACACCAACGAGGUGGAGGACGUUAUGUUUGGACCAGUAAGACACCAACGCGGUAGAGGACGUUAUGUUUGGACCAGUAAGACACCAACGCGGUAGAGGACGUUAUGUUUGGACCAGUAAGACACC